GGCCUGCUGUCACAAAUGAGUCAGACUUAAAACUCAUGUUAAUGUUUGAGUUGUGGGUUUUUUCAAUAUCGUAGAAAGUCCCUUCUGCCACUUACUUACUUUUCGUUUUAGUAAAUUAAGGGUAGGGUGCAGGAAGAGACUUUGGCAAACAAUGCAGAAGUGAUGUGUUCUCAACCAACUCUACAGCUAUCCCAGUAUUUAAAGUCUGGAGCAGUGUUACAAGGCUUACUUGACAGCAUGGUAGAGUUAACAUUUAUUACAUUCAUUUUAAUUCCUCUCUAAGGGGGGCUGAUCUAUGAUUUGUUCUGGAAUCUGUCUGAUUCUUUUAAGUAGCUUUUAUUUUGUGAUGAGGAAAACACCUCUUCUAUAUUUAGCAAUUUGUUCCAGACCAGACAUCAUGCACAUUUUGUCUUCAAACCCGCAGAAAAUGAUUAAAAGUGAAUGGUACAGCUGCAUAACAUUGCUAUAUGCAGGGAAUCCGAAAGGCGCCUUCAGCAGAUGGCACCUUCCUGCCUUUCAGGUGCUUCCGAACAAGCUGCCCACUGUCAGACGGUUGAAGACUCUCCUAUGGGAAGUGAGGGCUAGAGUUGCAACAAAAUGGGGAAAAAAUGUGGUGCCCUGAUCUCCCGUUUUCAAAAUCUGCACAUUUUAUUACUUCCCUUAAUGGGUUUUAGUCAAUGAGGUAGUCUCACACCAGGGAUUUACUCAACAACUGACAUGGCCAAUUUUAUAAAUAUCUGUCAACUAAAGGAUUAAAAUGUAAAAUGGUAGAUGGCAAAACCUCACAUUUUUUAUCCAUUGCCCUCAGUGGCAUAGACUACGCCAAAAAACUAUGUGGUAAAGUGGUAAGGUUGACAUCCACAUUUCUAAAUGACUAUUAUUUGUGCUUGCAAUUAUCAUUUUAGAGUUUUUAAUAUGCAAUAUUUUUCCCAGAAUAAAUAUAUGCUAUAAUUCCUUGCUUUAACAUAAGUAUUGAGUGAAGGAACAGUUCUUCCAGCUGUCUCACCAAGAUUUUACCUUGCCAGUUAUAUCCAUCUACUGCCUUAAACAUUUUAUUACUUGAUAAUAUGUUUACUAGCCAUACAGUACACUAUGCACAGCAAUUUACAACAUUUUUGCUUUGGUUAUAUUGCUGCUUGGUUGUCUAGCUACAUUAACACACAGUCACACAGUUGACAAACUUAUUUCUGGAAUUGGAUAAUGGAACGUUAUACACUAACAAGUUGCUAGCAAGUUCCCUCAGGGCACACAAUUAGGGUGCAUUGUUCUUGGACUGCAAAGACCCAAACGAAGUUCAAAUAUGGUAGUCUAUCGAGCAAUUAAUGUAGCAAGCUUGAAUCUAUACUGACUGGUUGACAAAUAGAAAUGCAUAAUUUCUGCCUCCAGUAAUUCCUGCCUACAGAACAACUGUGUCAAACAUUUACAACAGUAAACCAAAGACAUAAAAAAAACUGCAACCAAAGACAACAUAGUUUCAUUACAAUAGAUUAAUUAUUAAAAAAAAGCUGUUUGCAUUCAUUCACAAUUCAUUUGUACUUGCAUUUCAAAAUAUUUUAAAUUGCUAGAUUUUAUUUUUUGGUCUUAAUAGUUGUUGGUUGAUGUUUCAAGUACUUCAUUGAGUUUGAAAUUAGGUACAUGUCUACAGGCUAGGCUAAAUCGGUUAGGGUGAAACAUGACAGUUGUUGAGUUGUGGCAACCACCAUUGCUCCACCUCAGCACAUUCUACAGAAGAGUGUGAAGAAGAGCAGGUACAACCAUCAUCCCAAGCUGCAGGAUAAACGGAACAUGCAGACAGCUAGACCCCGAGUCCUAGAAAAAAAGAGAGAAGUUCACUUUAUUGUGUCAAUGAAACCAGAAAAGGAACCAGGCAAGCCUAGCUCAGCCGGCCAGCAAUUCAGUGUUACAUGUUGUUUGUUGCCCUGGAUUCAUUGGUCUCCCAAGUGAGUGGCCGUCUUUAAUCACUACACCACAGUACUAUACGUAUACCCAUUGUCGGUAUAGCAUCUCGACAUUAGAUCAUUUUGUCAUGCAUUAACAUCACGCCAAGUUUUAAUAUUUCGCUAGACACCAUUAAACAUUGUGUUCAGCUGAUUAACGUUUCUUAUUAAGUUUACCUCCACCACAAAUAGCAUCUGUGGAAUGUAUGGCUUUUGCCAUUUGCCGUUUUAACAGCUUAUUAGCCAGUAACAGGCUUACUAGUAUUUAACUUACUACUUGGAAUGGUAAUAAGAAUUAAGCAAUUGCUAGCGAUACUGAAUAUGAACUUUACACAGCAAAGGCUAUUUCAUGGCCAUUUCAAGGCGUCAUUCAUUCAUGAAUGACAUUGAUACAUCAACAUUCAAUAUAGGUGACGAUAACUGAAGUUACUGAAGGUUGUAGCCAGCAAAGUUUUUGUCUACCCUGACGGUACGUUCACACUAUUCGUGUUUGGGGAUAUGACAGCGUGGAGUGGCUUGUGAGGCGAUGCGUGGGAUCCGUAAGAGACUAAGAAAAAUAAAACUUUACGCAAAUCACCCGCGCCUAUCGCUGGAGACUGACCAAUCACGGGAUUUUGUGUAGGUGGUUGUGAAAGGCUCUCGUACAAUUAAAAUAACUUAAACAGAAUUGCUUUUACAGUCCUUUUUAAAAAGAUGUAUGGAAAACGUUUAUAGUAGUAGUAGUGAUGGGAUUACAUGAGACGUACGAUUGCACGCUAUUUUCCUAUAGAGACACAAUGCAGGGUGGACACAGGUGGCCGAGAUAGUUGUUGGUGCUUUUGGUGUCAAUUUUAGCGGACUGGUGGCUACCAAAUUAUGGCAAGCUGGUUUGCUAGCUAGCAUUGCAGGUUGUAAGAAUUUCAUCAGUGGGGCAUACGAAUUGAGUAGAGAUAUAUAACAUGUAAAAACGUAUUAAAAUACGUUAUUAUUAAUUUUUUAACCAUUGUAAUAAGCUGACGUUCCUUCAUACAUUUUUGCUAUGCCCACAGUUUACCUGCUGUUAUGAAGUUAGUUCGCCCACAAGUAUGCUACAAGCGAAGCACUCUGAGAUGAUAGGGUUGGCUAUCCGAAAUUUUGCAGUGGGAAUGUACGGUGACACAGAAAGCAUGCACGAAUGUGUACUGUGAAAAUCCACCAUAAAUAAUCACAAUAUAUUUUAGGCUUACUAUCACGCAGCUACUGAAGGUUGUAGCUACCGAAGUUUUUGUAAAUCCGGAACAAAUCCUAAUGCACAAUUUGCUUUGGCGAGAUUCGAACGGAG
ensembl:lncRNA